rnacentral:rRNA from 1 species
CUUUACACAUGCAAGUCGAACGGUAACAGGUCUUCGGAUGCUGACGAGUGGCGAACGGGUGAGUAAUACAUCGGAACGUGCCUAGUAGUGGGGGAUAACUACUCGAAAGAGUAGCUAAUACCGCAUGAGAUCUACGGAUGAAAGCAGGGGACCUUCGGGCCUUGUGCUACUAGAGCGGCUGAUGGCAGAUUAGGUAGUUGGUGGGGUAAAGGCUUACCAAGCCUGCGAUCUGUAGCUGGUCUGAGAGGACGACCAGCCACACUGGGACUGAGACACGGCCCAGACUCCUACGGGAGGCAGCAGUGGGGAAUUUUGGACAAUGGGCGAAAGCCUGAUCCAGCAAUGCCGCGUGCAGGAUGAAGGCCCUCGGGUUGUAAACUGCUUUUGUACGGAACGAAAAGCCUGGGGCUAAUACCCCCGGGUCAUGACGGUACCGUAAGAAUAAGCACCGGCUAACUACGUGCCAGCAGCCGCGGUAAUACGUAGGGUGCAAGCGUUAAUCGGAAUUACUGGGCGUAAAGCGUGCGCAGGCGGUUUUGUAAGACAGUGGUGAAAUCCCCGGGCUCAACCUGGGAACUGCCAUUGUGACUGCAAGGCUAGAGUGCGGCAGAGGGGGAUGGAAUUCCGCGUGUAGCAGUGAAAUGCGUAGAUAUGCGGAGGAACACCGAUGGCGAAGGCA